AAUUUCUAAUUUGUUAAAUUUUUUUUUGCAAUUUACAUUAAUGUAUUCUGUUUGUAUAUCAAUUUGUUAUUUAUUCAUUGUUGAACUACUUAAAUUCAAGUACAGUUUUUGAUAUCUCAGUAUAUACAUGUAUAUAUACGUAUAUUUUCCUUGUAAAUAAUUGUGUAUUAUUAAUUCCAAUUAACAAUCAUAGUUAGAUUUUAUAUUUACUUUAUUCGAAUAUCACAUUAUGAUGUUAGCUAGAACAAGCAUAUGCAGAAUAAUAACCAAAUUAUCAACUUAUACUAAUACGCUCAGAAGUAUUCAAAGCUAUUCUGCUGUGAUGUCGAAAUUCGAAUUACCAAGUCGUUUUAAGGGCAAUGACAAAUCUGUCUGGGUUGAAUAUAUUCAACUUGCUUUAAAGUAUAAGCCAUUAAACUUGGGUCAAGGUUUUCCAGACUUUCACGCCCCUGAAAGUAUUACAAAAGCUUUAGCUUCUACCACAAACAGCUCAAAUCCUCUUCUUCAACAAUACACGCGAGGUUUUGGACAUCCAAGAUUAAUCAACGCAAUUGCAAAGUUAUAUUCUAAACUCUUAAAGCGUAAGUUGGAUCCAAAUAAUGAAGUUCUUGUUACUGUUGGAGCUUAUGAAGCAUUAUAUACCGCAUUACAAGGUCAUACAAAUGCAGGUGACGAGUGGAUUAUAAUCGAACCAUUUUAUGAUUGUUAUGUUCCAAUGGUUCGUAUUGUUGGCGGUAUUCCUAGAUUCAUACCCUUAAAACCGAAAAAUACUAAUGGUCCACUUAGUUCUGCCGAUUGGACAUUUGAUAAGAAAGAAUUGGAAAAGCUUUUUAAUGAAAAAACAAAAGGAAUUGUAAUCAAUACACCAAACAAUCCUAUCGGGAAAGUAUAUACAUUGGAUGAAUUACAAUUUAUAGCAGAUCUUGCCAAAAAGUGGAAUACUCUUGUUGUGUCGGAUGAAGUUUACGAGUGGAUUGUUUAUGGAUCCAGUCAACAUGUUAGAAUAGCAUCAUUACCUGGCAUGUAUGAGCGCACUAUCACCAUUGGAUCUGCAGGCAAAUCAUUUAGUGUCACCGGUUGGAAAAUAGGCUGGGCAUAUGGACCGGCAAAUCUUUUGCACAACUUACAAAUUGUACACCAAAAUGUAGUUUAUACUUGCUCGACUCCACUUCAAGAGGCUGUGGCACUUGGAUUUGAAGAAGAAAUGGAAAGAUUUGAUCAAUCCAACUGUUACUUCUUCAGUUUACCAAAAGAAUUAUUACCAAAACGAGAUUAUAUGGCUAAAUUUCUUAGGGAUGUGGGCAUGUUGCCUACUGUCCCAGAAGGUGGUUACUUUAUGAUAGCCGAUUGGACAGCUUUAGAGAAAAAGACUAAAUUGGAAGAGGAAACGGAUGAUAAUAGAGAUUAUAGAUUUACUAAGUGGAUGACUAAGAAUGUUGGUCUUCAAGGUAUUCCUGUAUCCGCUUUCUAUUCAUCCGAACACAAACACUUAGCCGAGAACUUUGUACGAUAUUGCUUUAUAAAGAAAGACGAAAACUUGGAAAAUGCAGCCAAAAUUUUGAUGGAAUGGAAAUCAAAAUCAUAAUAACAAAUCUCUCGUUUUAUACAUUUUUUAAAAAUACUGUGAAAUGAAUAAUUUUUGUUAAAUAUUUGAUCAUAUGCGUAAUUUGUAUUUAUAUGUUUAUAUAUGCGUAAAUUGUACAUGCUAUUUAUUACCCUUGCUUAUCGAUUAACUAUGUUAUUAGAAAUUUAUGUUGAAAAAUCGCCGCGGAGCCAUCUCUUUGCAUCUUUGGUAUCAGCACCAAAUGUUUUACCAAAUCUAAGAGAACAUAUAUUUAUUCAAGAAAUUAUAAUGAAUGAGAGAAAAAAAGAUAAAGAUUAAAAUUACCUAAAUGUCUGCCCGGGAACAUGACCAAGAUAAUUAGGUGCCCAUUCGGUGCUUUGCCGAUGUCGAUAAUUUGAAGUAAAAUCACAAAGUGCACUAUUGGUAGCAGGUACAUUGGUUGCUCCAAAGUGUGCAUAUCCAUAUGGAAUAUGUCCAGCAUAUCCUUCAUUGACAAAAAAUUAAUAUCACUCGUUUUGCCAAAAAAUUGUAAUUGCAAUUUUUUUUACGCACUUCUGACGGUUUGUCUAAUGAAAGAAUAACGCGUUCGACUCUCGCUACUCGUAAGAGUCAUCUUGCAAUUACAACACACAUACGAAUGUAAAUAUAGUAAUAAUUAUAAAUUUGAUUUUAAGAUA
rnacentral:misc_RNA from 1 species